UCCUACGGGAGGCAGCAGCAAGGAAUAUUGCCCAAUGGACGAAAGUCUGAGGCAGCAACGCCGCGUGAAGGAUGAAGGCCUUCGGGUUGUAAACUUCUUUUUUAGAGGAAGAGAAAGGACGGUACUCUAAGAAUAAGUCUCGGCUAACUACGUGCCAGCAGCCGCGGUAAU
rnacentral:rRNA from 1 species